AUGUGCACAGUGGAGAAGCGCGGCCGCGUCCACCUCAUCACCCUCACCGGCGCCGGUGAGCACCGACUCAGCCCAUCCCUCAUCUCGGCCCUCCGCACAGCCGUGGCCACCGUCCGCGCCUCCCCCGGUGCCGGUGCCCUCGUGCUGGCCGCCGAGGGCAAGUACUUCUCCAACGGCUUCGACCAAGCCUGGGCGCGCACGGUCCCGCCCCACCUCCACGACUCCAUGAGAGGAGCCUUCCGCGCCCUCGUGGCCGACCUCCUCGCGCUGCCCAUGCCCACCGUGGCCGCCGUCACGGGCCACGCAGCCGCCGCCGGCUGCGCGCUGGCCCUCGCGCACGACUCCGUCGUCAUGCGCGCCUCCCGCGGGUUCCUGUACAUGAGCGAGGUCGACGUCGGCCUCAAGUUCGCCGACUACUUCGGGGAGCUACUCCGGCAGAAGGUCCCCAACGCAGCGGCCAGGAGGGACAUGGUCCUCGGGGGGAAGAAGAUGACGGCGGCUGAGGCGGUGCGGCUGGGCAUCGUGGACGCGGCCGCGGACGGCGGCGUCGAAGACGUGGUGGCCGCGGGCGUCGCGGCAGCCGAGGUGCUCGCGACGAGGGGUUGGGACGGGGAGAUCGUGGCCGAGAUCCGGAAGGCGAUGUGGCCCGCCGUGUGGGGCAAGGUCAAGGACCACGGCGCCGAGGCAGCGGCAGCGCGGCCGCGUCUGUAG
rnacentral:rRNA from 1 species